UAAUUGUGAUAUGAAAACUGUUUCGAUGAGAAACUAUAUUGUUGAGGGCGUAAAUUUUCUAUCACCAAUCGUAACGUAGAGGGCGUAAAUAGCGUGGGUAAUUCAGAUUUGACGAUGAAUUCGCUGUCACACGUUAUGUUUUUAUGCUAAAGUAAUUGCUGGUUUUAUCUGUUAAAACCAUUUCUGAAGUUUGAUAUCAUGCUGUAUAUGAUAUAAUGUAUUACUGGUGCAAUUACUGUAAACUGAUGUACUGUAUUGAAUUGAUGUGUAGUUGGGGAGAUAAGUUAAUUGAAUAAAUAUUUUAUCUAGUAAUUUUACUGGAUUGUUUAUCUCAAUACUUUCUCCCUGCGUCUGAUCCGAUCCCUCGCCUCGCCACAAUUCAAUUAACUUAUACUGAUGUCGGAACCAACUGCAAACAUGGAGGUGCAGGAUCGAACUGCUUUGAAGAGGAACCGAGCUGUGCGCAAGGGAAAGUUGACCAUAGCCUUAAAUGAGUUACAUGCUGAAUUAAAGGAAGAAGACGUGGUCGCGGAACAGAUUCGCCUGCUGCUUGAAAGAGCAAAGAUCCGACUUGAUGCUGCUGAAGACGCUCACGAUGCGCUAGUUGACACCAUUAUGG